AACGCACCUUGCACCCUUUGGUAUUCCGAAGGGUACACCCGUUUGAGUGUCAUUGUAAUCUCACGCCCGAGCACUUUUUUGUGCGAAGGACCGUGGACUUGGACGUCUCUGCCGCGUAACUGCGGCUCGUCUCAAAUGCAUGAGUAUGACUGGCUUGCUUCAGUGUCAUCUGGUGUGAUAAGCAUCUUCACUGGAACCUUGGGACCCUCUCAGAGGAACCCGCACUCUGGCUCGCCUGAGGUCUGCUUCCAACCGUCUCUCAGACAAAAACGCUUUGACAAUUUGACCUCAAAUCGGGUGGGACUACCCGCUGAACUUAA
rnacentral:misc_RNA from 1 species